AACUAGUUUCCCCGGGAGUUUUUAGCUUGUGGCGGGGAAAAAAGCUAGGCGUGGCUUAAGACUCAAAAAUAAAAUCACACAAAAUGAGUAGAAGGAAAAGAAAACCAGUAAAGAGACUGAUUAUACAGUCAGACAGCUCUGAAGAAGAUGAUGAUGAUGAUGAUUUUGUUCCAGUUACCAAGAAAUUUAUUAAAUCCGAAAAGCUGUCAACAAAUGAAAAGAGACUGAAGAGAUUAGUUCCAUUUGAUGAUGAAAACACUGCAGC